rnacentral:rRNA from 1 species
GUAAUAAAGCAAUUAUCCGUGAACUGCGAAUGGCUCAUUAAAUCAGUUAUCGUUUAUUUGAUAGUACCUUACUACUUGGAUAACCGUGGUAAUUCUAGAGCUAAUACAUGCUGAAAACCCCAACUUCGGGAGGGGUGUAUUUAUUAGAUAAAAAACCAACGCCCUUCGGGGCUUCUUGGUGAUUCAUGAUAACUUCACGGAUCGCAUGGCCUUGCGCCGGCGACGGUUCAUUCAAAUUUCUGCCCUAUCAACUUUCGAUGGUAAGGUAUUGGCUUACCAUGGUUUCAACGGGUAACGGGGAAUUAGGGUUCGAUUCCGGAGAGGGAGCCUGAGAAACGGCUACCACAUCCAAGGAAGGCAGCAGGCGCGCAAAUUACCCAAUCCCGACACGGGGAGGUAGUGACAAUAAAUACUGAUACAGGGCUCUUUUGGGUCUUGUAAUUGGAAUGAGUACAAUUUAAACCUCUUAACGAGGAACAAUUGGAGGGCAAGUCUGGUCCCAGCAGCCA